AGAGUUUGAUUCUGGCUCAGGAUGAACGCUAGCUACAGGCUUAACACAUGCAAGUCGAGGGGCAGCGAGAAGGAAGCUUGCUUCUUGUCGGCGACCGGCGCACGGGUGAGUAACGCGUAUCCAACCUUCCCCUUAGUAGGGCAUAGCCCGUAGAAAUGCGGAUUAAUACCCUAUGUUGUUCGAUGCGGACACCUAAGUUGAACCAAAGGUUUACCGCUAAGGGAUGGGGAUGCGUCCGAUUAGGCAGCAGGCGGGGUAACGGCCCACCUGGCCAACGAUCGGUAGGGGUUCUGAGAGGAAGGUCCCCCACAUUGGAACUGAGACACGGUCCAAACUCCUACGGGAGGCAGCAGUGAGGAAUAUUGGUCAAUGGGCGCGAGCCUGAACCAGCCAAGUAGCGUGCAGGACGACGGCCCUAUGGGUUGUGAACUGCUUUUAUGCGGGGAUAAAGUGACGUACGUGUACGUUUUUGUAGGUACCGCAUGAAUAAGGACCGGCUAAUUCCGUGCCAGCCGCAGC
rnacentral:rRNA from 1 species